rnacentral:tRNA from 1 species
GGAUAGCUCAGUGGGUAGAGCACCGGGGCUUUGGUCCCGGCUGUCGGAGGUUCGACUCCUCCUCCA